CCAAUUAUCUGCUUAACUCCAAGUCAGUGAAUUCCCCAGUGCUUCCGAGACAAACAAUAGAUAGUAUAAAGACUUUUGGCAGUUGACAGUUCCAUUUGGCUAGGGUUUGUAGCAAAUCCUUCUUAAAACUAAAGCUAUAUUUUUACAAAAUAAAAGCAACUAGCUGAGUUAAUUUCAAGCAGUCACUCAAGAUGUUUGCUUGAUGCAUUAGAAAACCAACUUUUGAAGGAUGUUUGAAUUCUCAUCCCUUUGGACACUACAUGGACACAUGCUCAGAAGAAGGGCCAGAUACCAUCACUGGAAGAAAGAUAACAUCUUCAAUAAAUGAUGCUGAAAAAACUGACUUUCCACAUUCCAAAGAUUAAAUAUAGACCCAUAUCUCUCACCAUGCACUAAACUAAAAUCAAAAUGGAUCAAAGAUCUCAAUAUUAGAACAGAAACACUAAAUCCGCUGGAAGAUAAAAUAGUUAGAAGUCUGGAAGACACUGGUGUAGGAAAAGACUUUAUGAACAAAAUUGCACAGGAUAUUUCAUAAAGAAUCAACAACUGGCAUCUCAUCUUACUUAAAAAAAAAAACUUUUUCACAGCAAAAGAAACCAUAAACAGAUUGAAGAGACAACCCAUAGAAUGGGAAAGAUUUUUGCCAACUAUUCCUCAAAGGACUUAUAUCUAUAAUAUAUAAAGAAUUUUAAAAACUGGACCUCCAAAUUUAAAGGCUCAAUCCAUAGGUGGGCAGCUGAAUUGAAGAGACACUUCUCAGAUGAAGAACGAUAAAUAGGAUAGAAAUAUUUGAAGAAAUGUUCAACAUCACUGUUCAUUUGAGAGAUAAAGUAGGACUUGCAGUUUCUGCCCUUGAAUGUAAGAAGUCUGGAAGUUGCCGCUGUGCCCUAACAGAGCUGAACACACUAAAAAUCAACCCUUCUUGGAAGUGAAGACACAGAGCAAUCCCCUCUCCUCACAAAUUAGACAGAUGGAGAAGUUUGAUAUGGAGAAUCAGAACUUACCUGGGACAGCAACCAUGAGCAAAACCAAGUUUACAGGUAGGAAAAACUCAACUGUAAUUGAUGAAUUCCUGGAGACUCAGUGUAAGUAGAAUAAACAUUUAGAUUGAGGAUACCAUUAGUAACUAAGAGUAGAGAGUAAGAUGUCAAAAAAGAAAACAGGGAACAAGGAAAUAAAGACAAAAGUAGAAAUUAACACAUUUUGUUAAAGUAAAAGAAAAGAUGUGUGUGUGUGUGUGUGUGUGUGUGUGCGUACGCAUGGAUUUUCACCUAAUAAUACUAGGAGCAAGACCAUGGGGAUAGUUCAGGAAGAAUGGAACCAUGUCUUCCUUCAGACUUGAGAAAAUGCUAUGGAAAUUGUAG
rnacentral:lncRNA from 1 species